UAAAACCCAAAACUUCAAAUCUUCAUAGCUCCCUCAUAUUUGGUCCGAUUUUAGUGAUUCUUGAGUCCAUCUUGGGUGAAAUUUCACAAGGAAUCCAGAUUUACAUUUGUAUUUCAAAGAUUCCAUCAUUUUUGGGUCGGAUUUAAGCAUAGGGGUGCCGAAAAUUUGGGGGGUUUUUGUGGGUUUUUGUGUGAACUUGAAGAGCUUGUUAUUCUCAUCUUCAACAACACUAAGGUAUGCAAUUUCAAUUCACUUUUUAUGUACAUUGAGGUUUGUAAGUUUUCAUUAUGUUUUUGCUUGCACACUUGCUUGUAUGUGAUAGAUGAUAGGAAAUUGUUGAACCAUUGAAUGUAUGGGUAUAAAUGUGUUUGAUGUCUAGUAAAAAAAAUUUUUGGAGACCUUGAGCUUGAAGAACACUUUCUUAAUCAUUAGUUUAUUGUCUUUGAUAUUGAUGAACGAUAAUACUUUUGUUAUGAUGUUGAUGCGAGCCAUGAGUGGCUAAACACUUUGUGAUCUUCCUGGAUUGAAGGUUUGUUUGAGACAUUUCAUGUUUGUUUUCCUAAUUUCUAUAAUAACAAUCUUCAUCUUAAUGGUUUGUUUGUUAUGAAACCAUACGUUCUUGGUGCCGUUGGCAAUCGAGAUAUCAUGGGUAUAGUUAGGCUUGGGUAAGGGUUGAUUGAUCAUCGGGUAACAACCUCACGUUCUAGGAAUCUGAGUACUUAGUUCCCUUUCAUCACUGCAAGUAGUCGCACAUGAGCUAUGUCUAUGUAGUUCUUUCUAGUGGAAUGAUAACAUGAAUGUCAAUUGAAACCGGAAAUCUAGGACGGUCAUUUGUCUCUAAUUUGUUUACAUCCAAAACUUUUCUCUUGCAAAUUAAUUAGUUAAUUUAGUUUUAAAACCAAUCCAAUCAAAUCAACUCUUGAAUUUUACUUUAUUUGCAAUUAGAUUAAUUUUAGUCAAGUUAGAUAAUCUUUUAAAUAACACAUUGAUGUGUGUAAAAUGCAACAUAUAAAUUACAUCAAAUGAGGCAUAAAACUAACCCUUUUUUAGUACUAAUGUUGGAAAAAGAGUGUUUUUGUCUUCCUUUUGUAUUUUCAGGAUUAAAUGAGCUCAAAUUCACAAAAGAAGCAAAAAGACAGCUAAAUCUAACAUAAAUACAAGAAAAGGAACAUAAGUGGAUUGCACGACCCCUUAACAGCAUCCUCCCAAGCAAAAUCGAGAAGGCAGAAGACUGAACACGCCCCGUGCUCAGCCAGCACGGGGCCGUGCCCAAGAAGCAACAGAAAAGACAAACCUACAGAAGCUUCUAUUGCCCACCACGGGGCCGUGUCCAGUGAACACGGGGGCAUGGCGAAAGUACAGCAGGCGCAUUAAUUGUAAUUGCAAAUUUCAAUUAAUGAAGAGAGAGAGUGUCAGACAGGCACGGGGCCGUGCCCAGCGGACAUGGGGCCGUGCCCAGCCUUCUGUUCAGCCUAUAAAUAGGAGUGCUUGGUUUCAUUGCAACUGAUCCCUUGGCACACCACCUCUCUCACACUUCAUCCACCACCCACCACCACCAUAACACCAUCAUCCACCACCAUCAUCCAUCGUCCAUCAUAGAGUGUGUGAGUCGUCUCGGGAUCCAAGAUUGAUCGUAAGAGUUCUUGACAAUCAAGGCCAUGUUUGCCUAAGUCUCUUACAUCACUUGGUGAAGACAAGUGUUUAGUUUAAUACUUUUUAUUUUCAAUCUUUUGCACUUUUUAUUUGGUUUUGUAUUAAUGACUUUAAUAACUAGUUGCUUAUGUUGAAGGUGAUUUU
rnacentral:lncRNA from 1 species